UACAUAGGUCCCGAGCGUUGUUCGGAUUCAUUGGGCGUAAAGGGUGCGUAGGUGGCGCUGUAAGUGGGGUGUGAAAUCCCGGGGCUUAACUCCGGAACUGCAUUCCAUACUGCGGUGCUUGAGGACUGGAGAGGAGACUGGAAUUUACGGUGUAGCAGUGAAAUGCGUAGAGAUCGUAAGGAAGACCAGUGGCGAAGGCGGGUCUCUGGACAGUUCCUGACACUGAGGCGCGAAAGCUAGGGGAGCAAACGGG
rnacentral:rRNA from 1 species